UGGGGAAUAUUGCACAAUGGGGGAAACCCUGAUGCAGCGACGCCGCGUGAGCGAAGAAGGUUUACGAAUCGUAAAGCUCUGUCCUAUGGGAAGAUAAUGACGGUACCAUAGGAGGAAGCCCCGGCUAACUACGUGCCAGCAGCCGCGGUAAUACGUAGGGGGCAAGCGUUGUCCGGAAUCACUGGGCGUAAAGGGUUCGCAGGCGGAAAUGCAAGUCAGUUGUGAAAGGCAGAGGCUCAACCUCUGUAAGCAAUUGAAACUGUAUUUCUUGAGAUGUGGAGAGGCAAGUGGAAUUCCUAGUGUAGCGGUGAAAUGCGUAGAUAUUAGGAAGAAUACCGGUGGCGAAGGCGACUUGCUGGACACAAACUGACGCUGAGGAACGAAAGCGUGGGUAGCAAACAGG
rnacentral:rRNA from 1 species